AUUGAACGCUGGCGGCAUGCUUUACACAUGCAAGUCGAACGGCAGCACGGACUUCGGUCCGGUGGCGAGUGGCGAACGGGUGAGUAAUACAUCGGAACGUGCCCAGUUGUGGGGGAUAACUACUCGAAAGAGUAGCUAAUACCGCAUGAGAACUGAGGUUGAAAGCAGGGGAUCGCAAGACCUUGCGCAACUGGAGCGGCCGAUGGCAGAUUAGGUAGUUGGUGGGAUAAAAGCUUACCAAGCCGACGAUCUGUAGCUGGUCUGAGAGGACGACCAGCCACACUGGGACUGAGACACGGCCCAGACUCCUACGGGAGGCAGCAGUGGGGAAUUUUGGACAAUGGGCGAAAGCCUGAUCCAGCAAUGCCGCGUGCAGGAUGAAGGCCUUCGGGUUGUAAACUGCUUUUGUACGGAACGAAAAGCUUCGGGUUAAUACCCUGGAGUCAUGACGGUACCGUAAGAAUAAGCACCGGCUAACUACGUGCCAGCAGCCGCAGUAAAAC
rnacentral:rRNA from 1 species